rnacentral:rRNA from 1 species
AUGGCCAGUCGGUGCCGCUCCUCCUCUCGCCCCUCCAGCCCUCGGCCCGGAGAUUGGGGGCGGUGUUCCGUCCCGCAUAGCAAGUUAGUAGUGCUUCAGUCCAAGGGGCUUCUCCCCCCAGCAUAUAUGGUCCCAUUUCGAGCCGGGAUUGCUGCCUAUAGCGGCGGAGAGCAAGCGGAGGGCGUUCCCAAUCCCUCUCAAGGAGAGCGGGUAUGCUUAGUCCCUUAUUUGAUGAGAGGACUAGGAUUUCCAAUUCAUCCAUUUCUCCGAGGGUUGCUGGAGUUCUACGGCCUCCAGCUACAUAACCUCACGCCCGCCUCCAUUUUCCACAUCGCGGGCUUCGUGGCCCUCUGCGAGCUGUUCUUGGGUGUUGAGGCCCAUUUCGUGCUGUGGGAGAGGUUGUUUUGCCUUGUGCCCCGUUCUCAGGAGGGGUCUAUUUAUCAGGUGGGCGGAGCCGAACUAUGGCGCAUCGCCGGGACCGGAUAUCUAUCCGGCACCCCAAAGAGGGCGUCCGAAGACUAG